AGAUGUGCCUCACUUGACUGAUUACAUCCCUAAUAUUCCUAUUUUUGAUAAUCCCUUGCGGUCUAAUCCAGCAUACUCAGUGGUGAAGCAGUACUUUGUCGACAUGGAUGAUACAGUUCCUCAGAAGAUAGUUGUUCAUAAGGACAGUCAGCGAGGAGUACAUUUUCGGCGUGCUGGUCCCCGUCAGAAGGUUUAUUUCAAUUCAGAUGAUGUCCGUGCUUGUAUUGUAACAUGUGGUGGUUUGUGCCCUGGGCUA
rnacentral:misc_RNA from 1 species